UAGAUGCUUUCCUUGAAUGCCUGUGUCAUG
rnacentral:piRNA from 1 species